AUGCCAAGAUUAGGAUACUUUCUAAACAAGUCCUUAAAUCUCUCCCAUGCUUUUGAAAAGCUCUCGAGGUCUUUCUGCUUAAAAGUGUGGACUUCAUUCUGAAUUU
rnacentral:snoRNA from 1 species